GACGUAGGGCGCAAGCGUUGUCCGGAUUUAUUGGGCGUAAAGAGCUCGUAGGCGGCUUGUCGCGUCUGCUGUGAAAACUCGAGGCUCAACCUCGGGCUUGCAGUGGGUACGGGCAGACUAGAGUGCGGUAGGGGUGACUGGAAUUCCUGGUGUAGCGGUGGAAUGCGCAGAUAUCAGGAGGAACACCGAUGGCGAAGGCAGGUCACUGGGCCGCAACUGACGCUGAGGAGCGAAAGCGUGGGGAGCGAACAGG
rnacentral:rRNA from 1 species